UCCGGGCGGACGCCGAGUCCUGCCGCCGCCCGGAUGACCGGUCGACAGGAGUGGAUCGGCAGGAGUGGAGGACCCAAGCUAGACGGGUCGCCGGAACGGAUGUUCGUCCGCUGGAUGCGGACGGCCGGAUGUUCCGAGCAGCCCUUGGGGUGAAGCCGCGGCAACGCGGCCGGGCAACUUCGCCAGCCCGAAUCCGACAGGUCAUCCUUCACAGGCGGCUGACGAAGGGUUG
rfam:Streptomyces sp. CB01883 scaffold4, whole genome shotgun sequence.